CAGUGGUUGAAGAAGGUGGCAUC
rnacentral:snRNA from 1 species